AUCCUCAGGAAUGUAAGCCCUUGGCAAUCAUACCAUUCCCUUUUCAUACAGUGGCUGCUGCCUGUAUCAUAGAGCACUGGGAUCAGGAGGCAAGGAAAUGCCAGGAGAUACCCAUGUAGAUCACCCAGAUUCCACAUAUAUUCUGCCUGUCCUAAUUGUGUGAACACAACACUACCUUCUCCAGCGGAUUAGGGUCAACUCUCACUGUUAGUAUGUUGACUUUAUGGUUCCUGGGCACAAGAACUCCAAAGUGUCCUAGUGGCAUCUACAUCUUGUUGUUCAAUGUAAUACUUGUGUCUCCUGGCAAGAGUGCGUAUCCUUUGGAGAUCAGGACUUCCAACUUAAAUAAUUUGUUUACUUAGCUUAAAUAAAAUCUUAUUUAGUUGCAGUAAUACAUCUCUGCAAUGCCUAGAAUUGCAAAAUAGAAAGUAUGAAAUUCCUCAUUGUGACUGAAUCACUGGAAAUAACAGUAAGUGGGGCCAUUCAUGUUUUCCAACUCCCUUUGUUUCUGAACCUACAUGUUCUUCUUAUUGCAGACUUAGCCCCAUAUAAAAGUUUUUGAUGUAAGCAUGUGCUGCAUCUUGAGGAUGGCACCACAUCCAGUCAGAAUUGUCACUGAGCUGUUGAUUUGGGUGUGCCUUUAGAAGGCAGUUCCAACUUCUUUGAGGCUGGCUGCUUUUGGAUGACAUGAUAUGUGAUACAAACUAUGGAACCGUGGUCAUAGGGCCAUCUUAUUUGCUGUACAAUAGGUCCCCCUGCUCAGAUGCUAUGUCAUAAGGGAUUCCAUGCCGGUGGAUUAUUUAUUCCAUAAGCUUGCAGAUAGUGGUGCUGGCUGAGGCUCUGUGGGUAGGAAAGGCAAACCCACAUCUGAAAUAGGUAUCUAUCUAUACCUAUGAAGAUGAACCACAGGUACUUUUGAGGCAGGUUGGACACUCAGAGGCAACAGUAGCAAGAUAUCUUGGUUUCAUGGCUUGUGUAAUAUGUUUUACUUCUGGGUUUCAUUUCUUAAAAAAGCCUUCCACAUCUGCCAGGUGCUGACAAAUCAAAUCCUCCAUCUAACUAUAGCCACCAUGUGGAACCCGUGGCUAUGUUUAUGACCCCAGCAGCUUCUGCUCCAGGUAAUGAAGAAAUUUGAAAUACAACAUAUAUACCUGCUCUAUGUACCUCACAGGAUAAUUGUGAAGAUCAGCCAAAAAGAUGAGUAAAUGAUAUAAAGUUGACAAACUGUAAGACAAUUGAAAUACCAUAAAAAACACCAGGCUGGUCUGGCUAGAAGAAGAAAUCUUGUGUUCAGACUGAACAAAACCCUAGGAUCCCAGGACAAGCAGGUGCUCAGUGGGAGAUACAGGACCUUUUUGGGCAUCAAGAGAUUUAAUCUUUGAUCUGUUCAAAGUUUGACCCGUCUGGGCCUCUGUUUCCUUAUUUAUAAUAAUGAAGAAAACUGGAUGAUUUCUGAGGCCCCAUUCUACGUUUCUACAAUGGCUUGUGUUAUUUUAAAGGUUGGUGGUUCUUCACGGUUAUUACAUGGGCGCUUUUGCUUCUUUGAUGAUCUCCCUGUCUCUAGGACAAUUAACCAAUCCUGUUUAAGGCACAGAGUGAAGAAAUUACGAGUCAUACAGCUGAAGUAUGCACAGAAAAGAUUUCAACCUCAAAUAAAAUCUGGAACUGAAGUUUCACUCCCCUCAUGGAACAAAUGUAUCAAGACUUGGUCAGAACUGAAGGCCAGAACACUUUCAAAAGUGAAGGGGUACAAGCUCAGGAAUGUUAGGUGUUAAGAUCCCUUACCAUACUUUACCAUAUAUGGUCUUGUUUAAAGUUCUUCCAAUCAAGACCUACCCACCAGCACUUCUGCAUACCAGCCUGCUCUCUCUAACCCAGAAAACUCACCCCAGACUCCAGAAUGGGGAGAUGGAAUUGAGCUUUGUCUCCUGCCUCCUCGCCAGCCA